CCUACGGGUGGCUGCAGUGAGGAAUAUUGGUCAAUGGGCGGGAGCCUGAACCAGCCAAGCCGCGUGAGGGAAGAAGGUGCAGCGUAUCGUAAACCUCUUUUGUCGGGGAACAAAAGCCGGGACUCGUCCCGUUCUGAGGGUACCCGAAGAAAAAGCAUCGGCUAACUCCGUGCCAGCAGCCGCGGUAAUACGGAGGAUGCGAGCGUUAUCCGGAUUUAUUGGGUUUAAAGGGUGCGCAGGCGGCCGGUUAAGUCAGCGGUAAAAUCGCGGGGCUCAACCCCGGCGAGCCGUUGAAACUGGCGGCCUGGAGUGGGAGAGAAGUAUGCGGAAUGCGCGGUGUAGCGGUGAAAUGCAUAGAUAUCGCGCAGAACCCCGAUUGCGAAGGCAGCGUGCCGGCGCCCCACUGACGCUGAGGCACGAAAGCGUGGGUAUCGAACAGGAUUAGAUACCCGGGUAGUC
rnacentral:rRNA from 1 species